AGGGAUGUGGCUCAGUGGUACAGCACUUGCCUAGCAAAUGCAAGGCUCUGGGUUCAAUCCCCAGCACUACUG
rfam:Ictidomys tridecemlineatus contig022031, whole genome shotgun sequence.